UACAGAGGUCCCGAGCGUUGUUCGGAUUCACUGGGCGUAAAGCGUCUGUAGGUGGUCAAAUAAGUCAACUGUUAAAUCUUGAGGCUCAACCUCAAAAUCGCAGUCGAAACUAUUCGACUAGAGUAUAGUAGGGGUAAAGGGAAUUUCCAGUGGAGCGGUGAAAUGCGUAGAGAUUGGAAAGAACACCGAUGGCGAAGGCACUUUACUGGGCUAUUACUAACACUGAGAGACGAAAGCUAGGGUAGCAAAUGGG
rnacentral:rRNA from 1 species